UGAGGUUGUGCCUUGAAGUGUGAGUGCUUGUUGUGCUAAGGUUGACAGAGAGGGCUGGAUUGGAUGGUGCUUCUGCUUCUUCCUGCUAAUGUCAUGGACUGUACCCAGGAAUGCAUCUUUCUCCUGAGCCUCACUCCUGUGCAUUGUGAAACCCCUGGUGGCUGGGUGAUGGAGAGCUGCAUGAAGAACACCCUCUAUGUUGGAGCAGCUGGGAGCCUCAGCUUUCCACUGCAGUUCCAUAUGAGACAUCCCUUGACUCUGUUGACCCCACACCUCAGAGUUCUUCAGGUACACACAGCACUUCACCCCUCUGGGAUCUCGAUCCAGCCCAGUGUGGGGCUUUGGGGGUGUUGAAGUUGGAUGCUUCGAGGGAUGGAAAUUAUAGGGGAGGGGGUUGAGUCUGGGGACAAAGGGAGGAAAAUGAGAGGGGCCCUCUGAAUGCUAUCUCCUGGAGGAACUGGAGUGUGCCCAGAAACAAUAAAUGUCCGGUGAUGAUUUGAUGUGAGUUAAGA
rnacentral:lncRNA from 1 species